AUUGAACGCUGGCGGCAUGCCUUACACAUGCAAGUCGAACGGCAGCACGGGGGCAACCCUGGUGGCGAGUGGCGAACGGGUGAGUAAAGCAUCGGAACGUACCCGGAAGUGGGGGAUAACGUAGCGAAAGUUACGCUAAUACCGCAUAUUCUGUGAGCAGGAAAGAGGGGGAUCGCAAGACCUCUCGCUUUCGGAGCGGCCGAUGUCGGAUUAGCUAGUUGGUGGGGUAAAGGCCUACCAAGGCGACGAUCCGUAGCUGGUCUUAGAGGAUGAUCAGCCACACUGGGACUGAGACACGGCCCAGACUCCUACGGGAGGCAGCAGUGGGGAAUUUUGGACAAUGGGGGCAACCCUGAUCCAGCCAUGCCGCGUGAGUGAAGAAGGCCU
rnacentral:rRNA from 1 species